UUCGCAAUGCCCGAAAGGGUGACGAUGCGACGCCGCGUGAGCGAAGAAGGCCCUAGGGUUGUAAAGCUCUGUCGAGGGUUAUGAAAUAUAGAUGGGUUAAUACCCCAUUUAUUUGACAAAAGCCCAAAAGGAAGCCACGGCUAACUCUGUGCCAGCAGCCGCGGUAAUACAGAGGUGGCGAGCGUUGUUCGGUAUUAUUGGGCGUAAAGAGCACGUAGGUGGUUUUGUAAGUCAGGUGUGAAAGCCUUCUGUUCAAAGGAAGAACGGCAUCUGAAACUACAGAUCUUGAGUGUAGGAGGGGAGAGUGGAACUUCUGGUGGAGCGGUGAAAUGCGUAGAUAUCAGAAGGAACGUCGGCGGCGAAAGCGACUCUCUGGCCUAUUACUGACACUGAGGUGCGAAAGUUAGGGGAGCAAACGGGAUUAGAUACCCCGGUAGUCCUAACUGUAAACGAUGGGCACUAAGUAGAGGGGUUUU
rnacentral:rRNA from 1 species